AUUUUUGGAUAAUCGCGUGAGGAGAAUUGCUUCUCAUGAGGAAAGUCCAUGCUAGCACAGGCUGUGAUGCCUGUAGUGUUUGUGCUAGGCGAAACCAUAAGCCUAGGGACGAGAAAUCGUUACGGCAGUUGAAAUGGCUAAGUCCUUGGAUAGGCCAGAGUAGACUUG
rnacentral:RNase_P_RNA from 1 species